rnacentral:rRNA from 1 species
CUACGGGUCGCUGCAGUGAGGAAUAUUGCACAAUGGGGGGAACCCUGAUGCAGCAACGCCGCGUGGAGGAUGACGCAUUUCGGUGUGUAAAUUCCUUUUAUAUGUCAAGAAAAUGACGGUAGCAUAUGAAUAAGCACCGGCUAACUCCGUGCCAGCAGCCGCGGUAAUACGGAGGGUGCAAGCGCUACUCGGAAUCACUGGGCGUAAAGGACGCGUAGGCGGGUUGGAAAGUCAGGUGUGAAAUCCUACAGCUUAACUGUAGAACUGCACUUGAAACUUCUAAUCUAGAGUAUGGGAGGGGGAGAUGGAAUUAGUGGUGUAGGGGUAAAAUCCGUAGAUAUCACUAGGACUACCUAAAGCGAAGGCGAUCUCCUGGAACAUUACUGACGCUAAGGCGUGAAAGCGUGGGGAGCAAACAGGAUUAGAUACCCCCGUAGUC